UACGAAGGGGCCUAGCGUUGUUCGGAAUUACUGGGCGUAAAGCGCACGUAGGCGGCUCAGUAAGUCAGGAGUGAAAUCCCGGGGCUCAACGUCGGAACUGCCUUUGAUACUGCUGAUCUCGAGUCCGGAAGAGGUGAGUGGAAUUCCUAGUGUAGAGGUGAAAUUCGCAGAUAUUAGGAAGAACACCAGUGGCGAAGGCGGCUCACUGGUCCGGUACUGACGCUGAGGUGCGAAAGCGUGGGGAGCAAACAGG
rnacentral:rRNA from 1 species